UACGAAGGGGGCUAGCGUUGCUCGGAAUCACUGGGCGUAAAGGGCGCGUAGGCGGCGCAACAAGUCACUUGUGAAAUCUCCGGGCUUAACCCGGAGCGGUCAAGUGAUACUGUCGUGCUAGAGUGCGGAAGGGGCUACUGGAAUUCUCGGUGUAGCGGUGAAAUGCGCAGAUAUCGGGAGGAACACCUACUGGCGAAGGCAGCUCGCUGGGACGUUACUGACGCUGAGACGCGAAAGCGUGGGGAGCAAACAGG
rnacentral:rRNA from 1 species